UGCUACUUUGCUGACGAGCGGCGGACGGGUGAGUAAUGCUUGGGAACAUGCCUUGAGGUGGGGGACAACAGUUGGAAACGACUGCUAAUACCGCAUAAUGUCUACGGACCAAAGGGGGCUUCGGCUCUCGCCUUUAGAUUGGCCCAAGUGGGAUUAGCUAGUUGGUGAGGUAAUGGCUCACCAAGGCAACGAUCCCUAGCUGGUUUGAGAGGAUGAUCAGCCACACUGGAACUGAGACACGGUCCAGACUCCUACGGGAGGCAGCAGUGGGGAAUAUUGCACAAUGGGCGAAAGCCUGAUGCAGCCAUGCCGCGUGUGUGAAGAAGGCCUUCGGGUUGUAAAGCACUUUCAGUCAGGAGGAAAGGGUGUGAGUUAAUACCUCACAUCUGUGACGUUACUGACAGAAGAAGC
rnacentral:rRNA from 1 species